UGGAUUUUCAGUUAAGCUCAGAGCAGGGUUAGCCUCUCUCCUGGUAAGAUGAUAAGAAGUUCUUAUUUUGUAUAUGAGGACACACCAUCCUCACAAGAAGAUAAUUAGUGAACUACGACAUUGACUACUUACACAAUUUGCAUUUUUUUCUGUGAAGCGAAGGUGAUUAUUGUCACAUUCCCAACAGAUGUUUAUGGGGAACUCAAGGCUGGCUGCUAACAUUUGAGUAUCUUAAAUAUCUGAAGAGAUUUUAUUGGCUUGCAGAAUUUGCAGUUCUAAAUGAGGUAGUCUGGAUAUGGUCUGAAGGCAUGAGGCCACCACCUUGCUGAAGCGAAGCAGGUCUGGGUCUGGUCAAUGCAUGGAUGAGAGACUGCCUAGGAACCACACGUAUGCCAUCUUGAGUUCCUUGAUGAAAGAAAGGUGUGACUGCUGAUGCUUAUGUAGCCAAAAUGGCACCACCCACAUACAAGAGGGAGUUAUCAGCAGUCUAAAUGCCGUCUGAGAUCUGCAGAAGUACACAAAAACUGGAGGAUAAAAAUCUAAGAAGGGGAAUCUGCAAAAACAGCCCAAUGAGAACUAAAUGUGCUCAGUGGCUACAAAAUGCUGGCUGACUGUUGGGGAGUGGGGGACAGUGAGAUUGGGUGAAAGAAGAACGGAACGGAGUAUCCGGAGGAAGAGAACGGCAGACUGAAUGGAACACUACACAGUAGCAGUCCAUGCUGCAAUAUCUUGUUGCAGUUCCCAUUUGUACAAGUAUUAAUUUUUAAAUUGUCUUUUACUAAAGGGGAAACAAGUCUAAAUUCAAAUAAUGUUGCAUUUAUAGGAAGGUCAACAAAAAUCUGUGUGGACAUUUGUAUUUCCACUUUGUAGAGUAUACUUUGGAUAAGACAACCACUUUCCUCAAAAAUUGUCAUAUUUAAAUGAAAAACCACUUCAGGAGAGAACCAUUCUGAAGAAUGGAGGAAGGGAGGUGCUUUUCAUGUCGUUUGCCCCUAAGUAUCCAUAUCAGUUGUUUUAUUUGGCCUAUUUAUAACAUAAACCUGAACUUCCUCCUGUAACUUGUCCCACUUCCCAGAUAUUCUUAUGGGUAGGAAAUCUUGCUGCUAGGCAACCUAGAUCUUUCCUCUUCCUUUAAUUUAAGCCCAUCUUGCUCUGCCCUCAGUGUUGUUGACAGAAAACAAUUAGUGGUUGUGAUUCAGACUUUAGGAACCUCUCUUAUUUUGGGAGAAGUUAAGUCUUUUUCCAAAUGGUGGUACACCUUCUGUCCCUUCUGAAUUUUCCAAUGGCUUUUGUGUUCCAAACAAUGACAGAUUUGGUUGUCCCCUCCUGAUAUGCCCUUCUUCGAUACAAAGUGUCCAAGAGUGACAAAAUGGAUGCAGUAUUCUUUUUUUUAUUUUAGUCACAGAGCUUAAUUUGUAAAAUGGGAGGUGGCAUAGAAGGAAAACCCCUAUCUAGAAGGAGCGGAUGGCUUUAUUUAUUUAGUUAUAUAAAGUAUUUUCAAAUCAAUGAAACACUGACAGUGGAAUUCCUGUCACUGCU